GCUCCCAUAGCUCAGCUGGAUAGAGUAUCUGACUACGAAUCAGAGGGCCGGGCGUUCGAAUCGCUCUGGGAGCACCA
rnacentral:tRNA from 1 species